UACGUAGGUGGCGAGCGUUAUCCGGAAUUACUGGGUGUAAAGGGCGUGUAGGCGGCACUGUAAGUCAGAUGUGAAAUCCCCGGGCUUAACCUGGGAAUAGCAUUUCAGACUGGGAGUCUAGAGUACUUUAGGGAGGGGUAGAAUUCCACGUGUAGCGGUGAAAUGCGUAGAGAUGUGGAGGAAUACCGGUGGCGAAGGCGGCCCCCUGGACAAAGACUGACGCUCAGGUGCGAAAGCGUGGGGAGCAAACAGG
rnacentral:rRNA from 1 species